rnacentral:rRNA from 1 species
UUUUGUAUAAUGGGUCAGCGACUUAUAUUCUGUAGCAAGGUUAACCGAAUAGGGGAGCCGGAGGGAAACCGAGUCUUAAUUGGGCGUUAAGUUGCAGGGUAUAGACCCGAAACCCGGUGAUCUAGCCAUGGGCAGGUUGAAGGUUGGGUAACACUAACUGGAGGACCGAACCGACUAAUGUUGAAAAAUUAGCGGAUGACCUGUGGCUGGGGGUGAAAGGCCAAUCAAACCGGGAGAUAGCUGGUUCUCCCCGAAAGCUAUUUAGGUAGCGCCUCGUGAAUUCAUCUCCGGGGGUAGAGCACUGUUUCGGCUAGGGGGCCAUCCCGGCUUACCAACCCGAUGCAAACUGCGAAUACCGGAGAAUGUUAUCACGGGAGACACACGGCGGGUGCUAACGUCCGUCGUGAAGAGGGAAACAACCCAGACCGCCAGCUAAGGUCCCAAAGUCAUGGUUAAGUGGGAAACGAUGUGGGAAGGCCCAGACAGCCAGGAUGUUGGCUUAGAAGCAGCCAUCAUUUAAAGAAAGCGUAAUAGCUCACUGGUCGAGUCGGCCUGCGCGGAAGAUGUAACGGGGCUAAACCAUGCACCGAAGCUGCGGCAGCGACGCUUAUGCGU